UACGUAGGGUGCGAGCGUUAAUCGGAAUUACUGGGCGUAAAGCGUGCGCAGGCGGUUUUGUAAGCCAGAUGUGAAAUCCCCGGGCUUAACCUGGGAAUGGCAUUUGGGACUGCAAGGCUCGAGUGCGGCAGAGGGAAGCGGAAUUUCCGGUGUAGCGGUGAAAUGCGUAGAUAUCGGAAGGAACAUCAGUGGCGAAGGCGGCCUGCUGGGCUGUUGCUGACGCUGAGGCGCGACAGCGUGGGGAGCAAACAGG
rnacentral:rRNA from 1 species